CGGCGACGCAUCGAUAUUCGAAACAUUUCUUGAAAUCCCUUGUAUUAUUAUUUUACCAUAUCAACAUAAUGAUAACUGCUUCUGCCUUCAGUCCACGCAUUGUAACUGUAUCGAAAGAAGUUUCUGAAUAUUCGAUUACUGCAAUCUAGUGGUAGCAGCCUAUAUUGAUACAACAAUGGGAAUAAUUGAGUAACACAAUCAGUUGCAGACGGAGUUUACUACAGUUCUACCCAGUGUACGUGUUCCAGUGUGUGAGAUUACGUUCAAUUUGGCUGAUUCACGAAGCGAGUAUAGUCUAUAAGUACUUACUUGUAAUUUUUGGUGUUUCCCCAAGGGUUAUGAAGUCGCAAGCUACGUAGAUCGGCCCCAUUAGUAUCGACUCGAGCCAUGGUAUUACCACAAGGAAAACGAUAGACAUCGGCACUUACGUUCGUGUAUCAUCCGAGUCACCGUUGUCAAUUACUGUCAUCGCAGUGUAGCAAUGAGAGUGGACCAGAACAUCUGUGUCGCUGUUUGUGCACAUAACAAUCGGAGUACUGUCGACAUGCGCUACCAGAUUGCCCCCUGGUCCGGAAAGGAAACGAAUCCAUAUCGUAGGUUGCUUCAUACCCAGUGAGGUAUGAUAGAGCCUUGAAACCGUAACCGCCAUUGACAUCGAAUUUUCCAUUCUUAAUUCCAGAACCUCCGUGCUUCUUUACGGCCGCUUGCAAACCACUUGGCCACCUAUCAAGAGACACUGUCACCCAUUGCCACUAAGCCGCCAACCUACAAGCAUACCAGACAUAGAUACUGGAGUCGUCGUUCCCGUCUCCAGUUGCAGUGUCGGCCAGGACGACUUUUUGGUCAGUCUCAACCAACGUAUCAGGAUCCCAGAUCUUGAAUGUUGCCCCGGUUACACUCAAACUGGUUGCAGGGUGUACUUUGGUCUUAUCCACAAUGAGCGAAGUUAUGAAUCCUCCAUUGCACUUGGCAAGCGCGCACAUCACUAAGGAGCAGUAGCUGAUAAUAAAUCAUGAUAUCAGUUUAUCUUAACCACUGGGGAAUCAGAGCAAUAUGGACUUACUCUGCUUGAUAUCGGCACAUGUUGGCCCAGUAGUAGGAUCGUACAAAGCAGGACCAUAAGCGGUGGUAGAGAAGUGGGUCGGCAGCAACAGUGGCUUAGCCCAUACAAGCUGGUGGGCUGGAAUACGAAGUUAUAAACAGGAGGAAGCAUCAUGCUCUGGCGACUUACAAAACAAAAAAGCUGUAAGGCAUGUGAUUUUGGUGAGAGACAACAUUUUCCCUUCCUUCUUGCUUCAAGAAUCAAAGUGCACUGCAGCUGCGCAAAAGUUGGACAUAGAAAAGACGGUCUUUAUCCGCAGGCAGCUACAUGAUGUACUGGUGGCCUCGACGCAAUGGAUGUCUCUCUUCCCUUGUGUUGGGUUUCCCACGUUCUCAGUCCAACAGGUUUCAUCACUCCCUAUGUCACUCUAGCGAUUGCCACAGACGGUAUAGAAGGUCAAAGGAACCUAUCUAUGAGACUCUAAUCAUGUAUAGUCAAUUGUGAUGACGUGAAAGGAAGCCACAUCCGGGAUGGUGAUCAACUUAGAACAAUAAGGCCUCACUAACGAAAGUCAUAUGCGAUCCUUUGCAGGGCCAUGAGGAGUUAGAUACAGGAUCAUUUGAGCGAUCGGAGACACUAAUCGUGAGAAAUGGCAAGGCAACCCUUAAGACUGUCUGUGAAUCUGUAUGUUAUCAAAAGAGUAGGAUAAUUAUGAAUGGAGAUCUGGACUCGGUGA
rnacentral:sRNA from 1 species